rnacentral:rRNA from 1 species
UGGGGAAUUUUCCGCAAUGGGGGCAACCCUGACGGAGCAAUACCGCGUGAGGGAGGAAGGCCUUUGGGUUGUAAACCUCUUUUCUUAAGGAAGAAGCUCUGACGGUACUUAAGGAAUCAGCAUCGGCUAACUCCGUGCCAGCAGCCGCGGUAAUACGGAGGAUGCAAGCGUUAUCCGGUAUUAUUGGGCGUAAAGCGUCCGCAGGCGGCAGGAUAAGUCUGCUGUCAAAGACCGCAGCUCAACUGCGGAAAGGCUGUGGAAACUGUCAAGCUAGGGUACGGUAGGGGUAGAGGGAAUUCCCAGUGUAGCGGUGAAAUGCGUAGAGAUUGUGAAGAACAACAGUGGCGAAAGCGCUCUACUGGGCCGUAACUGACGCUCAGGGACGAAAGCGAGGGGAGCGAAAGGGAUUAGAUACCCGUGUAGUCC